GAUGAACGCUGGCGGCGUGCCUAAUACAUGCAAGUCGAGCGAACAGACGAGGAGCUUGCUCCUCUGACGUUAGCGGCGGACGGGUGAGUAACACGUGGAUAACCUACCUAUAAGACUGGGAUAACUUCGGGAAACCGGAGCUAAUACCGGAUAAUAUAUUGAACCGCAUGGUUCAAUAGUGAAAGACGGUUUUGCUGUCACUUAUAGAUGGAUCCGCGCCGCAUUAGCUAGUUGGUAAGGUAACGGCUUACCAAGGCAACGAUGCGUAGCCGACCUGAGAGGGUGAUCGGCCACACUGGAACUGAGCCACGGUCCAGACGCCUCCGGGAGGCAGCAGUAGGGAAUCUUCCGCAAUGGGCGAAAGCCUGACGGAGCAACGCCGCGUGAGUGAUGAAGGUCUUCGGAUCGUAGAACUCUGUUAUUAGGGAAGAACAAAUGUGUAAGUAACUAUGCACGUCUUGACGGUACCUAAUCAGAAAGCCACGGCUAACUACGUG
rnacentral:rRNA from 1 species